UUCAAAGCACAAUGGUAUUUAGGAUGGGUCUGAUGACAAGAGGCCAGAGGAGGCAGCUAGAAAGCAUCAGGAAACAGAAAUGCCAAUGAAAUUACAAGAAUUUUAAGAAGGAGUUGCAGAAACUGGUCAAAUAUCAGGAGAACUUCACAGCCCUGAAGCCCUGCAGAGAAGCUGGAAGACUGGAUUAUUCCUGACUGGGAAAAGCAGAAUUUUGGCCAGGUGCGGUGGCUCAUACCUACAAUCCCAGC